rnacentral:rRNA from 1 species
UACAGAGGUGCCAAGCGUUAGGCGGAAUCACUGGGCUUAAAGCGCGUGUAGGUGGGUCGUUAAGUGUCCGCGUGAAAUCCCACGGCUCAACCGUGGAACUGCCGGGCAUACUGGCGAUCUUGAGGCAUUCAGGGGCGAGCGGAACAAAUGGUGGAGCGGUGAAAUGCGUAGAUAUCAUUUGGAACGCCAAUGGUGAAAACAGCUCGCUGGGAAUGAUCCGACACUGAGACGCGAAAGCCAGGGGAGCGAACGGG